UACGGAGGGUGCAAGCGUUAUCCGGAUUCACUGGGUUUAAAGGGUGCGUAGGCGGAUAGGUAAGUCCGUGGUGAAAUCCUGCAGCUUAACUGCAGAACUGCCGUGGAUACUAUCUAUCUUGAAUGUCGUGGAGGUUAGCGGAAUAUGUCAUGUAGCGGUGAAAUGCUUAGAUAUGACAUAGAACACCCAUUGCGAAGGCAGCUAACUACGCGAAUAUUGACGCUGAGGCACGAAAGCGUGGGGAUCAAACAGGA
rnacentral:rRNA from 1 species